AGCUUUUUGAAUCCGUACAGAGAUUUCAUCAGAAAUCAACCUACUGGGGAUGAUCAGACUUCCAAGAUAAGUGAAGUU
rfam:Schistosoma mansoni strain Puerto Rico chromosome 2, complete genome